rnacentral:siRNA from 1 species
UCCCAGUUGUGGCCCAGUUGUG